rnacentral:rRNA from 1 species
AUUGAACGCUGGCGGCAGGCCUAACACAUGCAAGUCGAGCGGGGGAGGUUGCUUCGGUAACUGACCUAGCGGCGGACGGGUGAGUAAUGCUUAGGAAUCUGCCUAUUAGUGGGGGACAACAUUCCGAAAGGGAUGCUAAUACCGCAUACGCCCUACGGGGGAAAGCAGGGGAUCUUCGGACCUUGCGCUAAUAGAUGAGCCUAAGUCGGAUUAGCUAGUUGGUGGGGUAAAGGCCUACCAAGGCGACGAUCUGUAGCGGGUCUGAGAGGAUGAUCCGCCACACUGGGACUGAGACACGGCCCAGACUCCUACGGGAGGCAGCAGUGGGGAAUAUUGGACAAUGGGCGGAAGCCUGAUCCAGCCAUGCCGCGUGUGUGAAGAAGGCCUUUUGGUUGUAAAGCACUUUAAGUGAGGAGGAGGCUCUUAAGGUUAAUACCCUUGAUGAGUGGACGUUACUCGCAGAAUAAGCACCGGCUAACUCUGUGCCAGCCGCCGCAGUAAUAC